UUGAACGCUGGCGGCAGGCCUAACACAUGCAAGUCGAACGGUAACAGGAAGAAGCUUGCUUCUUUGCUGACGAGUGGCGGACGGGUGAGUAAUGUCUGGGAAACUGCCUGAUGGAGGGGGAUAACUACUGGAAACGGUAGCUAAUACCGCAUAACGUCGCAAGACCAAAGAGGGGGACCUUCGGGCCUCUUGCCAUCGGAUGUGCCCAGAUGGGAUUAGCUAGUAGGUGGGGUAACGGCUCACCUAGGCGACGAUCCCUAGCUGGUCUGAGAGGAUGACCAGCCACACUGGAACUGAGACACGGUCCAGACUCCUACGGGAGGCAGCAGUGGGGAAUAUUGCACAAUGGGCGCAAGCCUGAUGCAGCCAUGCCGCGUGUAUGAAGAAGGCCUUAGGGUUGUAAAGUACUUUCAGCGGGGAGGAAGGGAGUAAAGUUAAUACCUUUGCUCAUUGACGUUACCCGCAGAAGAAGCACCGGCUAACUCCGUGCCAGCAGCCGCGGUAAUACGGAGGGUGCAAGCGUUAAUCGGAAUUACUGGGCGUAAAGCGCACGCAGGCGGUUUGUUAAGUCAGAUGUGAAAUCCCCGGGCUCAACCUGGGAACUGCAUCUGAUACUGGCAAGCUUGAGUCUCGUAGAGGGGGGUAGAAUUCCAGGUGUAGCGGUGAAAUGCGUAGAGAUCUGGAGGAAUACCGGUGGCGAAGGCGGCCCCCUGGACGAAGACUGACGCUCAGGUGCGAAAGCGUGGGGAGCAAACAGGAUUAGAUACCCUGGUAGUCCACGCCGUAAACGAUGUCGACUUGGAGGUUGUGCCCUUGAGGCGUGGCUUCCGGAGCUAACGCGUUAAGUCGACCGCCUGGGGAGUACGGCCGCAAGGUUAAAACUCAAAUGAAUUGACGGGGGCCCGCACAAGCGGUGGAGCAUGUGGUUUAAUUCGAUGCAACGCGAAGAACCUUACCUGGUCUUGACAUCCACAGAACUUUCCAGAGAUGGAUUGGUGCCUUCGGGAACUGUGAGACAGGUGCUGCAUGGCUGUCGUCAGCUCGUGUUGUGAAAUGUUGGGUUAAGUCCCGCAACGAGCGCAACCCUUAUCCUUUGUUGCCAGCGGUCCGGCCGGGAACUCAAAGGAGACUGCCAGUGAUAAACUGGAGGAAGGUGGGGAUGACGUCAGGUCAUCAUGGCCCUUACGACCAGGGCUACACACGUGCUACAAUGGCGCAUACAAAGAGAAGCGACCUCGCGAGAGCAAGCGGACCUCAUAAAGUGCGUCGUAGUCCGGAUUGGAGUCUGCAACUCGACUCCAUGAAGUCGGAAUCGCUAGUAAUCGUGGAUCAGAAUGCCACGGUGAAUACGUUCCCGGGCCUUGUACACACCGCCCGUCACACCAUGGGAGUGGGUUGCAAAAGAAGUAGGUAGCUUAACCUUCGGGAGGGCGCUUACCACUUUGUGAUUCAUGACUGGGGUG
rnacentral:rRNA from 1 species